CAAAAAAUGGCACCUGGUAUAAAUAACUCACUAAUACAAACUUUACCAAUCAAUUGUCCGUCGUUUGCGGGUUCUAAAUAUAAUUAUUUAUAUUGAGUGCCAGAUUCACACGACUAACAUAGACAAGAUACAUAUACCUUAUCUAUGAUAAUAAACAUUUUCUAUGAACAUUUUCAUAGAAUGUGUUCAUAAAAAUAGACGAUUCAUAACCAAAAAGCUUUCAUCGUAUGUUCAUCGAUGUUCAUUAUUUAUCAAAUCGUUUUGUGACGUGCUGUGCUUUUAAGUGUGAGUUGUGGAACAUAAUCCAUUAUUAUAGUUACUAUUCAAUUUUAGAAUGACUUAAUUCAGUAAAAGAAACAGGAUAUUAUACAAUUUAUGUUCUAACAGUACGGUAAUAUAAGGUGGUAAUAAUAACCUGUUAUAUUGGACAAGGAAUGAUUCCUACUAAUCAUGGAGAAAAUUAUUUUUAUUAAUUUUUAAAUCAACAUAUUCUUACAACUCUACAACAUAAAUGAUGGCGUCCAUUCAAAUGUCCCGUUGGGGACUACCUCGGGGCAUAUCAUCAAGUGCAACAGGAGAAGAUGCAAUACUUUACGAAUGGGAGCGUGGAAUGUUAGGACAAUGAG